GUGUCAGCAGCCGCGGUAAUACGGAGGGGGCUAGCGUUAUUCGGAAUUAUUGGGCGUAAAGGGCGUGUAGGCGGCCUAGUAUGUCCCAUGUGAAAGCCCUCGGCUCAACCGGGGAAUUGCAUGGGAAACUGCGAGGCUUGAGUCCGGGAGAGGAGAGUGGAAUUCCCAGUGUAGCGGUGAAAUGCGUAGAUAUUGGGAGGAACACCGGUGGCGAAGGCGGCUCUCUGGACCGGAACUGACGCUGAGACGCGAAAGCUAGGGGAGCAAACGGGAUUAGAUACCCCGGUAGUCCUAGCUGUAAACGAUGAGCACUUGGUGUGGCGGGUAUCGACCCCUGCCGUGCCGAAGCUAACGCAUUAAGUGCUCCGCCUGGGGAGUACGGCCGCAAGGCUGAA
rnacentral:rRNA from 1 species